rnacentral:misc_RNA from 1 species
GAUGAAGAACGCAGCGAAAUGCGAUACGUAAUACGAAUUGCAGAUUCAGUGAAUCAUCGAAUCUUUGAACGCACAUUGCGCCCCCUGGUAUUCCGGGGGGCAUGCCUGUUCGAGCGUCAUUUCACCACUCAAGCCUCGCUUGGUAUUGGGCAACGCGGUCCGCCGCGUGCCUCAAAUCGACCGGCUGGGUCUUCUGUCCCCUAAGCGUUGUGGAAACUAUUCGCUAAAGGGUGUUCGGGAGGCUACGCCGUAAAACAACCCCAUUUCUAAGGUUGACCUCGGAUCAGGUAGGGAUACCCGCUGAACUUAAGCAUAUCAAUAAGCGGAGGA